CCCGGAUCUGUAAAACGUUUCAAUCGCUUUCUGAAAGUCCAUUCGCUUGAGCCAUUAGUAGUCGUACAAAUGUUCAUACAGUAAACAAAGGCACUGAGACUAAAGCGAGUGUUAUGCAUGUUUGAAACAUGAACACAAAUCGACUUAACGGUAUAAUAACGCGUUAACGGCCUCUAUUGAGAACACACCACCGUUUUUUGACCAUUGAAAAUCCUUACUUUUUUAUCAUUAAGCAUAUAAUGUAUUUUUAAUUAUUCUCGUUUAGAAUUAUGUUAUUGAUUGCAAUAAAUAACAGUCCUCUGCAAACUAAACCGUAAAAAAACACAUUAAUCCCAAAAUCGUAAAGUGUAGCGAUCGAAGUGACAUUAGAAAGUAAAAACAUAGUUGAAUGAAACUGUAACAUCUGUGGUCGUACAUCUGUAGACAUCGGUCCCUUUCCACUCUACGCUCACACGCAUCGGCACACAAGCUAGUUGAUCGAGCGCGGCGGCCAAGUGUUGUUGAGUGUUUCCUUCAGGACUGCUUCCGUAUUUCGCAAAAUGAGAUUAGCGGCACCAUUUGCGUUAGUAGUAGCAACAUGUUUCGGUUUAGAUUCUGCAGUAUACAAUGGUUUUGAGAAUGGAUUCGAGUACCGAAUAGAGCAUGUGGCACAAAGUUGGGACGUGGCGAAAGCGAGCUGCAUGCAAGACAACGCAUCACUA